rnacentral:rRNA from 1 species
UACGUAGGUGGCGAGCGUUGUCCGGAUUUACUGGGCGUAAAGAGCGCGCAGGCGGUCGUUCAAGUCGCGUGUGAAAGCCCCCGGCUCAACUGGGGAGGGUCACGCGAUACUGAUCGACUCGAAGGCAGGAGAGGGUAGCGGAAUUCCCGGUGUAGUGGUGAAAUGCGUAGAUAUCGGGAGGAACACCAGUGGCGAAGGCGACUACCUGGCCUGUUCUUGACGCUGAGGCGCGAAAGCUAGGGGAGCAAACGGG